rnacentral:tRNA from 1 species
CGCGGGGUGGAGCAGUCUGGUAGCUCGUCGGGCUCAUAACCCGGAGGUCGUGGGUUCAAAUCCCACCCCCGCU